UGUCGUCAGCUCGUGUUGUGAAAUGUUGGGUUAAGUCCCGCAACGAGCGCAACCCUUAUCCUUUGUUGCCAGCGGUCCGGCCGGGAACUCAAAGGAGACUGCCAGUGAUAAACUGGAGGAAGGUGGGGAUGACGUCAAGUCAUCAUGGCCCUUACGACCAGGGCUACACACGUGCUACAAUGGCGCAUACAAAGAGAAGCGACCUCGCGAGAGCAAGCGGACCUCAUAAAGUGCGUCGUAGUCCGGAUUGGAGUCUGCAACUCGACUCCAUGAAGUCGGAAUCGCUAGUAAUCGUGGAUCAGAAUGCCACGGUGAAUACGUUCCCGGGCCUUGUACACACCGCCCGUCACACCAUGGGAGUGGGUUGCAAAAGAAGUAGGUAGCUUAACCUUCGGGAGGGCGCUUACCACUUUGUGAUUCAUGACUGGG
rnacentral:rRNA from 1 species